UCAACGGGUUUGCGCGGAUAUCUUCGAUUCACUGCUUUAGGUGAGCCAUCCUCGGAUAUCAUGGAGCUGCAUUUGCAUUUUGGAAUAAGGAAUGUGUUUUCUCCUGCGUUUCGAACGAAGGGUGGGAACGUCAUCGGUGCAACAUCUCCCGGGUUUCUCCAUGUACAACGUGUGAUGGUGCUUUUCUCGUAGACGUUUCUCUGGACAGACAGUGAGAGAGAAGCCGUUGAUCCACUGAUGAUGUUGGUCUGUUUACAGAUUAUAGAAAAACCUGUGCUUGUGGAUCUACAUCGGAUGACCAUGGCAACCCAGGUGUGGAAAUAGUAGAUUGUUUUUAAUCUGAGAUCUGUGUAAUCUAAGAUGGACAAUUCUUUUGACACCAUAUGAAUGCAUACUGUCGUCUGGCAGAAGCUAGAUGAUUUAGAUUACAAAGUUAUAUGUUUUUACACAUGCAUCUCUUUGCUUCAGAAGGCCUUUAUUAAAGGAUUAGUUCACCUCAAAAUUAACAUUUCCUGACCAUUAACUCACCAAUGCCAUCCAAGAUGUCCAUGUCUUUUCUUUCCUUUCUUUAGUGUAAAAGAAGUUAAGUUUGAGGAAAACAUUUCAGGAUUUUUCUCAACACAAUGGACCUCAAUAGCAAAUCAAUGCAGUUUCAAGAGGCUGUACACGUCACAAUCCCAGAACAUUUAUAAACUUUUUUUAUCACAAUUGUUCAGCUUGUGCUGGUCUGCGAUGCGCCAGGCAUUACGUCAUCACGUUGGAAUUGUCACCCGUCAUGUCAUUUAUCUAAUAUAUUUAUCUGUGUACUCCAUUUAAAAAGGCAGGGAAGGGCAGCAAAUUCCAUCUCAUUUUUCCUCCAAUUUCAACAUCUUUGUUUUUUAUUUUAUUAUUAUUUAAAAUUUUUCAAACGUGAUGACGUAAUGUGCUGGUCUUCAAUGUGCCAGGCAAGAUUACCAUUUGUGGUUAAAAAGUAUAUAAAUGUUUAUUAUUAUUAUUAUGGUAACACUUUACAAUAAGGUUCAUUAGUUAACAUUAGUUAGCUACAUUAGUUAACCUGAACUAAUAAUGAACUGCACUUAUACAGCAUUUAUUAAUCUUUGUUAAUGUUAAUUUCAACAAUUACUAAUACUUUAUUAAAAUCUUGUUAACAUUAGUUAAUAGACUCUGAACCAACAUGAACAAACAAUUAAAGCUUACAUUUUUAUUAACUAACAUUAACAAAGAUGAAUAAAUCCUGUAACAAACGUAUUGCUCAUGGUUUGUUCAAGUUAGUUAAUAGAUUAACUAAUGUUAACUAAUGAACCU